rnacentral:rRNA from 1 species
UACGAAGGGGGGCUAGCGUUGCUCGGAAUCACUGGGCGUAAAGGGUGCGUAGGCGGGUCUUUAAGUCAGAGGUGAAAUCCUGGAGCUCAACUCCAGAACUGCCUUUGAUACUGAGGAUCUUGAGUACGGGAGAGGUGAGUGGAACUGCGAGUGUAGAGGUGAAAUUCGUAGAUAUUCGCAAGAACACCAGUGGCGAAGGCGGCUCACUGGCCCGUUACUGACGCUGAGGCACGAAAGCGUGGGAGCAAACAGG